UGCCAGCAGCCGCGGUAAUACGGAGGGAGCUAGCGUUGUUCGGAAUUACUGGGCGUAAAGCGUGCGUAGGCGGAUCGACAAGUUGGGGGUGAAAUCCCGGGGCUUAACCCCGGAACUGCCCUCAAAACUGUCGAUCUAGAGACCGGGAGAGGUAAGCGGAAUUCCUAGUGUAGAGGUGAAAUUCGUAGAUAUUAGGAAGAACACCAGUGACGAAGGCGGCUUACUGGACCGGUACUGACGCUGAUGAACGAAAGCUAGGGUAUCAAACGGGAUUAGAUA
rnacentral:rRNA from 1 species